rnacentral:rRNA from 1 species
GACGAACGCUGGCGGCGUGCCUAAUACAUGCAAGUUGAGCGCUGAAGGUUGGUAUUUGUACCAACUGGCUGAGCAGCGAACGGGUGAGUAACGCGUGGGGAAUCUGCCUUUGAGCGGGGGACAACAUUUGGAAACGAAUGCUAAUACCGCAUAAAAACUUUAAACACAAGUUUUAAGUUUGAAAGAUGCAAUUGCAUCACUCAAAGAUGAUCCCGCGUUGUAUUAGCUAGUUGGUGAGGUAAAGGCUCACCAAGGCGAUGAUACAUAGCCGACCUGAGAGGGUGAUCGGCCACAUUGGGACUGAGACACGGCCCAAACUCCUACGGGAGGCAGCAGUAGGGAAUCUUCGGCAAUGGACGAAAGUCUGACCGAGCAACGCCGCGUGAGUGAAGAAGGUUUUCGGAUCGUAAAACUCUGUUGGUAGAGAAGAACGUUGGUUAGAGUGGAAAGCUCAUCAAGUGACGGUAACUACCCAGAAAGGGACGGCUAACUACGUG